GGCCAGAUUCAGGCUCCAUUGCAUGAAACAAAUUUUCUAGACCCAUUUCAGUCAGGGUUUAGGCCUGGUUUUGGCACAGAAACUUUGGUUGUCCUGGAUGGCAACCUCUUUCUGAAGAGAGACAAGAAUCUAAUUGCAAACAUGCUGCCUGUCCCCGACCUGCUUCCUGCAUUGAAUGUGGAGCCAGCAAAAGAACAACUCUGUUCCUGAUUUAUAAACAAAACAGCAUUCAAGGAAUGUAAGAAUGCUCCAAAUACACUGAGCUUGGCCCCGAGGAGCCGACAACACUGAGCCCCCGAGUCAAUCUCAGUGCCCAGAAAGGGAGAAGAAGAAAGCCCAGCAACACCGAAGUCUCCCCAAAGGGAAUGGCAUUCUCAGCAACUUAACAGGUCCUCCAUAGCUGUGGAACUGGCUGAAGACAAGGACUGGUCGAUAACAGUGGAAAGAGCUUCACUCACAGAAGCGGGCUGACCCACUGCUUGUGGUUGCUACACUUGCUCUCGCGCAGCUGUAAGUGGAUGUUGGCAUUGUGCAACACCCCCAGCUCCCUGUGUAACUCCUUGCUGGGACCCUGCCUCCAUCACUGCCAGGGGUGAAAAAGGCCAAGCAUGGCUCAUGGCCCUGUACAGGAGCCCCCAAGGUGAAAGCCCCCACCCAGGCCAGUCCCACUGCUGAGCUGAAUAGGUAGGCUCACCUGGCAAGACUGUUGAGGCAGGCUCCACUGUAGGACAUUGCCCUGAAGUUGGCUAAACACUUGCCUCACCCUUCACUGGAGCCGGAGUAACUCUGCUAGGUCUUGCUUCCAGCGCAUCCAGCCGGGCUAAAAUUAAGGCCAAAGCACUUUGGUUAGCCCCUUGAUUGACAUCUUUCUUCCCUGCUUUGGCCUACCUAGUUGGCUGACUGGCCAGAGGCCUUGAUACCACCCUGGCCUGUACAUUAAGACUUUUCUUAAGGGUUAGGAAUGCAGGCAAUGGCUGCUCCGCAACCUCCUCAGAUGUAGCAGCUGGAGGAGGGCAUUGGGUGGGCUAGGGCCCCUGCCUUUACCCUUAGGCCCCCAACCCCUUUUUAGGAGGCAUGUCUGGUUAGAUAUGUUAAAAAAAUAAGGGGGCUUAAAGGGCAUUGUCCCCCCCCAGAUGGGUCCUACUGACUACCCCUGGCCUACUGUGCAAAAGCCCAAAGUGGCCCACCCACUUGUCUCAGACUGCCCCUCCACCGAGUACAACCACCUAAAAUGGCACAAAAAUAAAAACAAAAUGGUGCCAAAAUGCAAAAUGGCCCCUAUAGGCCUGCUGCAUCUGCAUCAAAAGGUCUGUUGGUGCCUUGUGCGAGACGCCCCUCCACUAAAUACAACCACCUAAAAUGGCACAAAAAUAAAAAACAAAAUGGCACCGAAAUGCAAAAUGACCCCUGUAGGCCCGAUGCAGCCACAUCAAAAGCCCUGUUGGUGCAUUGUACAAAAUGCACCGUGAGGCAGGCAUGGCUAUCAGCCAGUCACACCACUGAUAGCUACGAGGGGGGGAGCCGCCCCAGCCACCGCCCCCCAAAACAGCUGAUUGGCGGGCUGCAGCCCACAGCCGCUAAGCAAGCCGCUGAUCAGUAGGUGGGGCUAUUGGGCAGCCAGUCAUGCCAUGGACAGCCGUGGGGGGAAACUGCCCCAACCACCAUUCCAAAAAACAGCUGAUCGUCGGGCCGCAGCCCACAGCCACUAAGCGAGCCGCUGAUCUUCAAAGGGGGGGGUGGACCGCUGCCCAGCUGAUCCAGGUAGGGGCUGGACACCACCCUGAAAAAACAGCUGAUCGGUGGGCCGCCUAACAGCUGAUCGCCAGACUGUCAAAGAAAUCGAGGAAGGCCUGCAGCCGUUAAGCUCACCUACGAUUAUCUCCUUUGGCUGCUGUGAGCCAAUGAGUGAGGAUCGUGGGCAGCGCGAGCUUAAGCCAGCUCCAUUGCCCCACCUUCUCUGUGACCACACAUGGCAUGCAAGCACUGGCCAUGGCAACAUCACCCUCCUUCCUAACGUGGCGGCUGGGACUUCCAACCCUGGCCACAAACAAGCCCUGCUGUCCCAGGCAUUGCUAUAAGUGCGGAGUGGGAAAUUCACUUAAAUGUUCUUUUCUUAAUCAUUAUAUUUUGCAAUAUUUUCUCAUAUUAGUCCAUAUCAUGUCCUACUCAGAUCAUUGAAAUAUCAUUUAGAUAUGAUCAUUUAGGUAUGCAUUUCAACUCUUCAUCUCAUUUUAGACUGCCCAGACUUUUAAAGAAUCACUACAAGGAUAAAAUGAAGGUUUGAACAGUAGUGAAAUGUAUUUAAAAUUCUCAAUGACCCUUUGCUUUCAAACACAAGACCCAGCCAUUUUCAAAAGCCCCCCUGAAGUGCAGAGAACAUGCCUUGACUCUGGAGUGGGAGAGAUUCUAUUUCAACAGCAUUUAAGUGGAGGAAACACCCAGUUGAUUCGGAAGCAGAAGUGUGAAAUAAUUUAUAUAGCCAAGAGCCAGCAGAGGCCAUAAUGCCACUGUUCCCGAAGUGUCCAUGCCUGAAAACAAGCCCAGCUGGCCAUUUAUAAUCAUUUCCCACUCUCUCAAUAGGAAAACACCACAUUUGUCAAAAUCGUAUGCUGAUGCUUUCAGUUUUAGUUCAUUAGCUCUCAUUGUGAAUGGGAAUGGAUCAUUUCGAACAAGCACCAAACAAUUUCCUUGUGCUAUCUUAAUUAUGUGUCAGCACCUUUACAGCAAAGGAGCUUUCCCUCUUCUGUCUUCUUACCUAUGCAACGUCCAAGAAAAACAACUGGAGGCAAAGACAAUGCAUCUCCCCAGUAAAUUGCAGGGCUGGAUCUGUCCCCUCCCAAAUGGACCCCCUGCUGCCCUGAUUUCCUACUACUUUCAGUGUCAUAAUUCCACCCAUUAAAAAUAAUUUGAAAAGAUUCUAGACCCUGAAUGAGGUUGGUUUCCUGGGCUAGCACCAACAAAUUGUUUCAUCUCAUCUAAGACAGUCUCUAAACUGAUUUUUAAACUUGAUCUAUAUUUAGACUGAAUGAAAAAACAACACCACUUUGAUUAUACAAGGACGAUCAGCUUGCUUUGAGAGAACAAUCCUCUUAGCAUUAACUACUCAUACAGGACAAAUUAAAAUUAAGCUUAAAUUUGGCAAAAUUUCAGUAUUCCAAUUUGAAAUGAUGCUUUUAAAAUUUAACUUUGAAUGUGCUAGGCUAUCUUCCUCAGGCUCCUUAAAUAAAGGCUCCUUACAUACUGCCCAACCUUUGCAUAUUCUACAGAACAAAUGUUUUGGUUUAGACUGAUACAUUGGGAAUGACUGUACAAUUGAUUUAACAAGGUUCGAAGGGCUGUUAUAGCAGGGCAGGCACUUAAUGUAUGUAUUACAAGUUCUCCAGCUUUGCUGAGUCAAUCAACCAGAAAAGUGCUGAGCAGUUUGAUCCAAUUUCUGGCAAAACUGAUUUGCCUACCUCCAGUGUUGGGAGUAAUAUGUUUGAUGGAUUGUGCAGAGUUUGGAGAAGUUAGAACGGCUGGGAGAUCCAAUGAAUUGUUGAAUUUGAGUCACUAGAAUUAGCAUAUGACUGCCUUUGACUGUGUAAUAGUAUAAUAAAAUUGUAUCAUAGA